rnacentral:lncRNA from 1 species
AGUAUUUCAUUGAUACACUCUCGUUGUUUGGGUUAGGUGUAACACCUUGCAGGCAUAAAAUGGAAUGAACCCUCACAUGUUGAGGACUUUCUGCGUAGUUUAUGAUUGAUUUUCAAAUAACUGCUUGCCCUGUGUUCCAAAAAUCCGACAAAUCUAUGAAAACUAGUAUUGCUCAGAAUAAUGACAACUGACAGGCAUAACAAAACAAAGAAAGUGAUAUCCACAAGAAAAAUGCGAAGCAAACCACCCAAUUCAUCUGCAAUUCUGAUUAGGCAAGCUUGUUAGAUGUUUGGAGCAGUAGCCCCUUUACAACAAUUCUUUGUAAUAUUAUAAAACAACCCAUCCAUAAAAAUUCAUUAUUUAAUCGACAUGUAAGCAUGCAAAUGACCGGACCGGAAAAGAUCGACACCUUUCAACAAGGUUGCACACUGCAACUAUUUUUCUGCGGAUAUUUUGUGAAACCAUGAAGGUGGAUGACUGUUCCUCUUCAACAACACCCACCCAAGGAUUCCAUACAUACAUAUAUAUAUAUAUAUAUAUAUAUAUAUAUAUAUAUAUAUAUAUAUAUAUAUAUAUA